GAUGAAGAACGUAGUGAAAUGCGAUAAGUAAUGUGAAUUGCAGAAUUCAGUGAAUCAUCGAAUCUUUGAACGCACCUUGCACCCUUUGGCAUUCCGAAGGGUAAGCUCGUUUGAGUGUCAUUGUACUCUCACACUUCUGAUCCUUUGGAUUGGGAGCGGUGGACUUGGGUGUUGCUGCUUUACUGUGGCUCACCUCAAAUGCAUUCGUGCAACUCUUGGUUGGACAUAGUACGGCGUGAUAAGUAUCUUCGCCGGCACCUCGCAAGAGGGUGGCUGAUCAGGAGCUCUGUGCUUUCCAACUGUCUUCAGACAACAACUGACAACUUGACCUCAAAUCGAGUAGGACCACCCGCUGAACUUAAGCAUAUCAAUAAGCGGAGGA
rnacentral:misc_RNA from 1 species